rnacentral:rRNA from 1 species
CCUACGGGUAGCUGCAGUGGGGAAUAUUGCACAAUGGGCGAAACCCUGAUGCAGCGACGCCGCGUGAGUGAAGACGUAUUUCGGUAUGUAAAGCUCUAUCAGCAGGGAAGAAAAUGACGGUACCUGAGUAAGAAGUCCCGGCUCACUACGUUCCAGCAGCCGCGGUAAUACGUAGGGGGCAAGCGUUAUUCGGAUUUACUGGGUGUAAAGGGAGCGUAGGCGGGGAAGAAAGUCUGACGGUAAAGCCCGCGGCUCAACCGUGGAAUUGCUUUGGAAACUGUUUCGCUGGAGUACCGGAGAGGUAAGCGGAAUUCGUGGUGUAGCGGUGAAAUGCGUAGAUAUUAGGAGGAACACCAGUGGCGAAGGCGGCUUACUGGACGGUAACUGACGUUGAGGCUCGAAAGCGUGGGGAGCAAACAGGAUUAGAUACCCGGGUAGUC